AACAAGGCGUACCUGCGGACCUGCGGAGGGAUCAUUACACAACAAAAUAUGAAGGCCUGGCUUCGCGGCCGGCUGAAGUAUUUUUUUUCACCCAUGUCUUUUGCGCACUUGUUGUUUCCUGGGCGGGUUCGCCCGCCACCAGGACCAAACCAUAAACCUUUUUUUUUAUGUAGUUGCAAUCAGCGUCAGUAAAAACAAUGUAAUUAUUACAACUUUUAACAACGGAUCUCAGAUCGGAAG
rnacentral:misc_RNA from 1 species